GGAUGAAGAACGUAGCGAAAUGCGAUAAGUAAUGUGAAUUGCAGAAUUCAGUGAAUCAUCGAAUCUUUGAACGCACAUUGCGCCCGCCAGUAUUCUGGCGGGCAUGCCUGUUCGAGCGUCAUUUCAACCAUCAAGCCCCCGGCUUGUGUUGGGGACCUGCGGCUGCCGCAGGCCCUGAAAAGCAGUGGCGGGCUCGCUGUCACACCGAGCGUAGUAGAUUUCAUCUCGCUCAGGGCGUGCUGCGGGUUCCGGCCGUUAAACCACCUUCAUAACCCAAGGUUGACCUCGGAUCAGGUAGGAAGACCCGCUGAACUUAAGCAUAUCAAUAAGCGGAGGA
rnacentral:misc_RNA from 1 species